rnacentral:rRNA from 1 species
GUAGGGGGCUAGCGUUGUCCGGAAUCAUUGGGCGUAAAGCGCGCGUAGGCGGCCCGGUAAGUCCGCUCUGAAAGUCCAGGGCUCAACCCUGGAAAGCGGGUGGAUACUGCCGGGCUAGAAUCCGGAAGAGGCGAGUGGAAUUCCUGGUGUAGCGGUGGAAUGCGCAGAUAUCAGGAGGAACACCAAUAGCGAAGGCAGCUCGCUGGGACGGUAUUGACGCUGAGGCGCGAAAGCGUGGGGAGCAAACAGGAUUAGAUACCCUGGUAGUCCACGCCGUAAACGAUGGGCACUAGGUGUGGGAGGUGUCGACUCCUCCCGUGCCGACGCUAACGCAUUAAGUGCCCCGCCUGGGGAGUACGGCCGCAAGGCUA